rnacentral:rRNA from 1 species
AGAGUUUGAUUCUGGCUCAGAACGAACGCUGGCGGCGUGGAUAAGGCAUGCAAGUCGAACGGACCUUGUCUUUUGGAUCGAUAAAGUAACGUGGAGUAGCAAUACAAAGCGAAGCGAUAUUUUGAAAAAAGACGCUGGUUAGUGGCGAACGAGGUAGUAACACGUAGGAAUCUCCCCCUAAGUCAUGAAUAAUACAUCGAAAGGUGUACUAAUACAUGAUGGUCUCGCAAGAGUAAAGUUUUAACGCUGGAGGAAAGGCCUGUGCGAUAUCAGCUAGUUGGCAGUGUAAUGGACUACCAAGGCUAUGACGUCUAGGGGAGCUGAGAGGCUGACCCCCACCACCGGAACUGAGAAACUGUCCGGACACCUACGGGUGGCUGCAGUCGAGAAUCUUCCGCAAUGGACGAAAGUCUGACGGAGCGACGCCGCGUGGUGGAUGAAGUCCUUAGGGACGUAAACACCUUUUAUGAGGGAAGAAGUUUAUUGACGGUACCUCAUGAAUAAGAGGCUCCUAAUCUCGUGCCAGCAGGAGCGGUAAUACGAGAGCCUCGAGCGUUAUCCGGAAUCAUUGGGCGUAAAGGGUGUGUAGGUGGCGUAGUUAGUCUUUUGUUAAAUCCCAGAGCUUAACUUUGGUUCAGCCGUAGAGUACUUCAAAGCUUGAGUAUGGUAGGGGUAGAGGGAACUUCUCGUGGAGCGGUGAAAUGCACAGAGAUGAGAAGGAACACCAGUGGCGAAAGCGCUCUACUGGGCCAUGACUGACGCUGAGAGAUGACAGCUGAGGGAGCGAAUAGGAUUAGAUACCCUAGUAGUCUCAGCCGUAAACGAUGGAUACUAAGUGCUGGCAAAACCAGUGCUGUAGCUAACGCGUUAAGUAUCCCGCCUGGGGAGUAUGCUCGCAAGAGUGAAACUCAAAGGAAUUGACGGGGGCCCGCACAAGCGGUGGAGCAUGUGGUUUAAUUCGAUGCAACGCGAAGAACCUUACCAGGGCUUGACAUGUCACGAAUCUUUUUGAAAGAAAAGAGUGCCUUCGGGAACGUGAACACAGGUGGUG